rnacentral:rRNA from 1 species
CAGUAGCCACGGGAAUACGGAGGGGGCUAGCGUUGUUCGGAAUUACUGGGCGUAAAGCGCACGUAGGCGGCUUGGUAAGUUAGAGGUGAAAGCCUGGAGCUCAACUCCAGAAUUGCCUUUAAGACUGCCGAGCUAGUAGGUGAGAGAGGUAAGUGGAACUCCGAGUGUAGAGGUGAAAUUCGUAGAUAUUCGGAAGAACACCAGUGGCGAAGGCGGCUUACUGGCUCAUUCUAGACGCUGAGGUGCGAAAGCGUGGGGAGCGAACAGGAUUAGAUACCCGCGUAGUCCCUGUCUCUUAUAC